UACGUAGGGGGCAAGCGUUGUCCGGAAUCAUUGGGCGUAAAGAGCGUGUAGGUGGCUCGGUAAGUCCGCUGUGAAAGUCCAGGGCUCAACCCUGGAAAGCCGGUGGAAACUGUCGAGCUCGAGUCCGGAAGAGGCGAGUGGAAUUCCUGGUGUAGCGGUGAAAUGCGCAGAUAUCAGGAGGAACACCAAUGGCGAAGGCAGCUCGCUGGGACGGUACUGACGCUGAGACGCGAAAGCGUGGGUAGCAAACAGG
rnacentral:rRNA from 1 species